GCAGCUCCUCCCCCAGGGCGCCCUCCGGCCCCAGCAACAGCAGCACCAGGCACGUCAGGGCUAGUGCGCACGCGCACCGCAGAACCGGAGCCUGGAGGCGGCGAAGCAGACCAAGGGGCGGGCGGUCAUGUGACGCCCGGACCCGCGACUUGUGGCCGGCAGGGCGAGCUGGGGCACGGGGACCGCUCUGACCCAGGGACGUGUCUGCCUCUGGGACGUAGACAGGUGCACGAGCGCCGUAAGGGAUGUCCAGGUGCCCAGGCCGAAUGGUGCACCCCUGGACGUGCACAGCUGAAGGAUACAGCCACAAGAACAGACAUGUAUGGCAGAGGCCAGGAAAGUUCCAACCAUGGAGCUUCCAGUCGUCCUCUCUCACGGAGUUGUGGACAGCAUUACCUGCCCAGCAAUGAUAUGUGACAAUAUGCAUGACUGCUGCCAACCGGGGAAGCUCACCCGAGCCUGGGUGUCCAGACUCCCUCAUUUAUUGGGGCCCCUUCACAUAGGCGCGGUUGACCACCACGUGGCUGAUCUGUCUCCAGUCCCUCUGGAGGUUGAGGGCACUCAGUGCAGGGGAGAAGAGAAGGUCCAAAGAGAAGUUCAGGCCUCCAGGUCAUAGUCUUUUCAGAAAAUCCACUUGGGCCCUUGGAUUAUGGCAACCCAGUUUCUGACAGCAGGGACUCAGGGCUUGGGUGGGGGGAUGCUGGGUUACUCUGGUCAGGCCCUCCUCCAAAGAAUUAAGAUCCCAGUGCAUAAGACAGGGAGAUAGGAGUGAGAGGAAACACAGUGCGUGGUGGGCUAGGGAGGAGCGUUCAGGAAAAGAGAUGGUCAGUCCUGGGAAGGGCAGUGAGGGGCCCAGUGAGACUCUCUCACAGUGCUUGGGAGCCCCCUCCCCCACCUCCUAUCCCCAACCCCAACGCUGGUUCACGCAGGGAAGCGAUGGCAUCCUCCCUCCUGGCCCCCCGAGGCUGAAUGCUCACCACUCCAGGGUCCUGGGUCUGGCUGCCCAAGGAUUCUGUGGUGGACUCAGGAGGGGAGACCUCCAGCACUAGACAAACUCCCCAGGUUUUAACUCUUACCAAGAAUGGGUCAUUUUUGGUAACUGCAGUGGGGGAAGCAGGAGUGGGCUACUGGGGAGGGGUGCUCAGGAUCCCACAGUGGCAGAACGCAGCAAUUCCCUACAUCACACACCCACCCCCACACCCCCACGCAGGCUGUGAGUGCAGACGUGUGCAUAUGCACAGACACAGCAUAUUGCUACCCUCAUAUGUGCAUCUGUGCACACAGACACACAAAUGCAUCAUGAACACAGUCAUGCACAUGUAAACACAUACCCACAGAUGUGUCCUUGCACACACCUCGGGCACACUUAGACCCAUGCUUGCUGUCUGUGUGUGCUAGUACACACCUCACAGGUUUCUGCCCACCUGGCUCAGGAAGGCCCAGAGCUCCUAAGGGGACGCUGCCACCUGAGCACUUCUUUCUGCCUACCCCAGGGCUGGUCCUUUGGGAGGGUGUAGGGGUCAACCAGAAGGGGGAGUGCCCAGGGAGUUCCUGCCAUCAGCACUGACUGUACCCUCCUCUCCCUGCACCUCCAUCAUAGGCCCUGAGGCCUGCUGCCAGGACCUGAGCACUCCCAGUCGGCUUUGGGUGAUGGUGGCCACCCCCCCACUCUCUGUAUUGGUGGGGGUGGGAGGGC
rnacentral:lncRNA from 1 species